rnacentral:rRNA from 1 species
AACGAACGCUGGCGGCAUGCCUAACACAUGCAAGUCGAACGAGACCUUCGGGUCUAGUGGCGCACGGGUGCGUAACGCGUGGGAACCUGCCCUUAGGUUCGGAAUAACUCCCCGAAAGGGGUGCUAAUACCGGAUAAUGUCUUCGGACCAAAGAUUUAUCGCCUUUGGAUGGGCCCGCGUUGGAAUAGCUGGUUGGUAGGGUAAAAGCCUACCAAGGCGACGAUCCAUAGCUGGUCUGAGAGGAUGAUCAGCCACACUGGGACUGAGACACGGCCCAGACUCCUACGGGAGGCAGCAGUGGGGAAUAUUGGACAAUGGGCGAAAGCCUGAUCCAGCAAUGCCGCGUGAGUGAUGAAGGCCUUAGGGUUGUAAAGCUCUUUUACCCGGGAUGAUAAUGACAGUACCGGGAGAAUAAGCACCGGCUAACUCCGUG